rnacentral:lncRNA from 1 species
UGAGAAAGGCUUGGAAAGUUAUUGAUCUAAGCAGCAGAGUUCAAGAACAGGUUCGAAUAGCCAUGGCUGGCUAGAGUAAGGUUGGAGACGGCCAUAGAACUUGAAUCAAACAAAGUUUGGGCCAAAAUUCUUCAUGGUCAGACCUUGAAACUACAGUAACCAGGCGUUUAGGAGUUAUAAGAGGCCGGUAUAGGACUUCAAUGGCCUUGGAAGCCAUGGAUUCUGGUGAUUUUAUGGUGGAAGAGGAGGGAGGCGGCUAGGGUUGGAGAGGAGCUUGAGAGAGAACUGAGAGAAGGGAG